rnacentral:misc_RNA from 1 species
UACGGAGGGUGCAAGCGUUAUUCGGAAUUACUGGGCGUAAAGCGCGCGUAGGUGGCCUGAUAAGCCGGUUGUGAAAGCCCCGGGCUUAACCUGGGACCGCCAUCCGGUACUGUCAAGCUAGAGUGCAGGAGAGGAAAGUAGAAUUCCCGGUGUAGCGGUGAAAUGCGUAGAGAUCGGGAGGAAUACCAGUGGCGAAGGCGGCCUUCUGGACUGACACUGACACUGAGGUGCGAAAGCGUGGGUAGCAAACAGG